AACAGAGAUAUAGGAACAUUUUCACCAGGGCGUGGGGUUUCCACGUCAGUUCAAUCCAGUCCCUCCAGAAUAGCGCGAUUAUGCGAUUGCAUAAUUCAAUGCAUAAUCAGCUAAAGUCAGAAUAUUUAUGCAGGGGCCGCAUUCUUUUCAAAUACGCCGCACUUUCACCACAUAAAUUGCCAAUUUCCACGCAAAAUAAUUUUGGGCUUGUAUAAUUUCAUA